rnacentral:lncRNA from 1 species
UGGGACUACAGGCGCCCGCGACUACGCCCGGCUAAUUUUUUGUAUUUUUAGUAGAGACGGGGUUUCACCGUGUUAGCCAGGAUGGUCUUCGUCUCCUGACCUCGUGAUCCGCCCGCCUCGGUCCCCUAAAGUGCUGGGAUUACAGGCAUACACUCUUAAGUAACCUGGUGGGGACCCAUCAAACUACAAAGGGUUAUAGCUACUCUUACAGAAGACAUAAGAAGAUAUAUACGCAGAGAAGACAUCAUAAGACCUGAAGAUGAAAAACUUCUGAUCACAGAAGAAAGAUAUACAACAGCCUUGAAGCAUUCUGAGAACCCAGUGAAGGCAAUAAUGUCUCUUCCCAGAGAAAUUCACAGAUCUGGGCUACAUUUUGCCAAGGAGAGGAACAUCUGUGGAGUCUGGAAAGUGGAAGUAAAUCGGAAGCUUUAUUCUCUGGAGGUGGUGGCUGCCAGAUGAACAUGCACAUGAGCAAGACACAGAAGACAUGGAGAUCCAUGUAGAAUCAUAAGAAGGUAAAGAAGAAGGAAAAAAUGUAGCCCCUAGAAGCUUGGAACUGCCCUCAGACUACAGCCAGGAAGCAGACAGGGACUUCAGUUCCACAGCCACAAGGAGCUGAAUUCUGCCAACCAGAAUGAGCAAGAACAUGGAUUCUCCCCUCAAGCCUCCAGAAAAGAAUGCAGCCUACAGUCAGCACUUUAAGUCCCAUGCAACCUAUAAUAGAUUUCUGACCUACAGAGCUUUAAUGUCAUAAAUUGGUGUUGUUUUAAGUCAUGAAGUUUGUGGUAGCUUCUUAUGACAGUAAUUGAAAACUAAUACCUGGUCUUUUUAGCAGAAUAACGAGCACCCUGUAAUGUGUCAUUCAUGCAUAUCUUUUUUUUUUUUUUUUUUUUGGUGGGGGCAGGAAGACAAAACUCUAGAGUUUAAUCUUCCAGCUGACUGACUUGGAAGUGUUCCUGUCAAUAUAAAAGAUCUUGUUGGGGG